rnacentral:rRNA from 1 species
CUUGGUCAUUUAGAGGAAGUAAAAGUCGUAACAAGGUCUCCGUUGGUGAACCAGCGGAGGGAUCAUUACCGAGUUUACAACUCCCAAACCCCUGUGAACAUACCAUAUUGUUGCCUCGGCGGUGCCUGUUUCGGCAGCCCGCCAGAGGACCCAAACCCUAGAUUACAUUAAAGUAUCUUCUGAGUCAAUGAUUAAAUCAAUCAAAACUUUCAACAACGGAUCUCUUGGUUCUGGCAUCGAUGAAGAACGCAGCGAAAUGCGAUAAGUAAUGUGAAUUGCAGAAUUCAGUGAAUCAUCGAAUCUUUGAACGCACAUUGCGCCCGCCAGUAUUCUGGCGGGCAUGCCUGUCCGAGCGUCAUUUCAACCCUCAAGCCCCCGGGCUUGGUGUUGGAGAUCGGCGAGCCCUCCGGGGCGCGCCGUCUCCCAAAUAUAGUGGCGGUCCCGCUGUAGCUUCCUCUGCGUAGUAGCACACCUCGCACUGGGAAACAGCGUGGCCACGCCGUGAAACCCCCCACUUCUGAAAGGUUGACCUCGGAUCAGGUAGGAAUACCCGCUGAACUUAAGCAUAUCAAUAAGCGGAGGA